ACGGCUCAGUAACACGUGGAUAAUCUACCUCUGGGUGGGGGACAACCUGUCGAAAGACGAGCUAAUACCCCAUAAGACCACGGCCUCUUCGGAGGCUGGGGUAAAAGGUGGCCUCUUCCUGAAAGCUAUCACCGGGAGAUGAGUCCGCGCACCAUCAGCUUGUUGGUAGGGUAACGGCCUACCAAGGCUAAGACGGUUAGCUGGUCUGAGAGGACGACCAGCGACACUGGAACUGAGACACGGUCCAGACUCCUACGGGAGGCAGCAGUGGGGAAUUUUGGACAAUGGGCGAAAGCCUGAUCCAGCAACGCCGCGUGAGUGAUGAAGGCCUUCGGGUUGUAAAGCUCUGUCGGGUGGAACGAAUAAGGAUCACCUAACACGUGAUCCGAUGACGGUACCAUCAAAGGAAGCACCGGCUAACUCUGUGCCAGCAGCCGCGGUAAGACAGAGGGUGCAAGCGUUGUUCGGAAUUACUGGGCGUAAAGGGCGUGUAGGCGGUGAGGUGUGUCUGACGUGAAAGCCCUCGGCUUAACCGGGGAAUGGCAUUGGAAACUACAUUACUCGAGUGCGAGAGAGGAUGGCGGAAUUCCCAGAGUAGAGGUGAAAUUCGUAGAUACUGGGAGGAACACCAGUGGCGAAGGCGGCCAUCUGGAUCGCAGCUGACGCUAGAACGCGAAAGCGUGGGUAGCAAACAGGAUUAGAUACCCUGGUAGUCCACGCCGUAAACGAUGUUCACUAGGUAUUGGUGGAAUUGACCCCUUCAGUGCCGACGCUAACGCAUUAAGUGAACCGCCUGGGGGAGUACGGUCGCAAGACUAAAACUCAAAGGAAUUGGCGGGGGAGCAC
rnacentral:rRNA from 1 species